AGUGAACGCUGGCGGUAGGCCUAACACAUGCAAGUCGAACGGCAGCACAGUAAGAGCUUGCUCUUACGGGUGGCGAGUGGCGGACGGGUGAGGAAUACAUCGGAAUCUACUUUUUCUUGGGUGAUAACGUAGGGAAACUUACGCUAAUACCGCAUACGACCUACGGGUGAAAGCAGGGGAUCUUCGGACCUUGCGCGAUUGAAUGAGCCGAUGUCGGAUUAGCUAGUUGGCGGGGUAAAGGCCCACCAAGGCGACGAUCCGUAGCUGGUCUGAGAGGAUGAUCAGCCACACUGGAACUGAGACACGGUCCAGACUCCUACGGGAGGCAGCAGUGGGGAAUAUUCGACAAUGGGCGAAAGCCUGAUCCAGCCAUACCGCGUGGGUGAAGAAGGCCUUCGGGUUGUAAAGCCCUUUUGUUGGGAAAGAAAAGCAGCAGGUUAAUACCCCGAUGUUCUGACGGUACCCAAAGAAUAAGCACCGGCUAACUUCGUG
rnacentral:rRNA from 1 species